rnacentral:rRNA from 1 species
AACGAACGCUGGCGGCAGGCUUAACACAUGCAAGUCGAACGCAUCCUUCGGGGUGAGUGGCAGACGGGUGAGUAACGCGUGGGAACGUGCCCUUCAGGUCGGGAAAACCUAGGGAAACUUGGGCUAAUACCGGAUACGUGCGAGAGAGGAAAGAUUUAUCGCGGAAGGACCGGCCCGCGUCUGAAUAGCUAGUUGGGGUGGUGAUGGCCCACCAAGGCGACGAUGAGUAGCUGGUCUGAGAGGAUGAUCAGCCACAUUGGGACUGAGACACGGCCCAAACUCCUACGGGAGGCAGCAGUGGGGAAUAUUGGACAAUGGGCGCAAGCCUGAUCCAGCCAUGCCGCGUGAGUGAUGACGGCCUUCGGGUUGUAAACCUCUUUUAGUAGGGAAGAAGCGAAAGUGACGGUACCUGCAGAAAAAGCACCGGCUAACUACGUGCCAGCCGCCGCCGUAA